rnacentral:rRNA from 1 species
UGUACACGCUGUGACUAGCAUAUCAAUAAGCGGAGGAAAAGAAACUAACAAGGAUUCCCCUAGUAACGGCGAGUGAAGCGGGAAGAGCUCAGAUUUGAAAUCUUAAAGGGUUUCCCUUUACGAAUUGUAGUUUAAAGAAGUGUUUUCUGUUGAGGUUUUGGUAAAAGUUCUUUGGAAUAGGACAUCAUAGAGGGUGAGAAUCCCGUAUUUGACCUUUACUUUCAACUUUGUGAUACACUUUCAAAGAGUCGGAUUGUUUGGGAAUGCAGUCCAAAAUGGGUGGUAAAUUUCAUCUAAAGCUAAAUAUUGGCGAGAGACCGAUAGCGAACAAGUACCGUGAGGGAAAGAUGAAAAGAACUUUGAAAAGAGAGUUAAACAGUACGUGAAAUUGUCAAAAGGGAAGCGUUUGACACCAGUGUUGUUUUUCUGAAAAUCAAUUAAAGAACUGUUUAUGCUAAGCUGUUUAGACUUUAUCAGCUAUCUGUUUAGUUUUGAGCUUUUCUUUAAUGCACUUUUCAGUUAACAAGUCAACAUCAAUUUCUUUUGCUGUAAAAAAGCUUGAGGAAGGUGGCUUGAGAUUCGUCUUAAGUGUUUAUAGCCUCUUGCCUAUGCAGUCGGAGAGAUUGAGGUCUGCAGCGUAGAUCCUUCGGGGCUAAAUGCAUUUGUGCUAAGUUAUAGCAUUUUAUAGACAACUUGUUGACUAUGAUUUGUCUUGUAGCUUACUCGCUUAUGUUAUUUUACCUACGCUUAGGAUGUUGAAGAUGUAGCACAUCAU